CAUGCAGUCGAACGGUAACAGGUCUUCUGAUGCUGACAGUGGCGAACGGGUGAGUAAUACCUCUUAACGUGCCCGAUCGUGGGGGAUAACUAAGCGAAAGCUUUGCUAAUACCGCAUACAAUCUCCGGAUGAAAGCGGGGGAUCUUCCGACCUCGCGCGAACGGAGCGGCCGAUGGCAGAUUACGUAGUUGGUGGGAUAAAAGCUUACCAAGCCNACGAUCUGUAGCUGGUCUGACAGGAUGAACCNCCACACUGGGACUGACACACNGCCCAUACUCCUACCGGAGGAAGCAAUGGGGAAUUUUGGACGAUGGGUGCAAGCCUGAGCCAGCCAUGCCGCGUGCAUGAUGAAGGCCUUCUGGUUGUAAACUGCUUUUGUACGGAACGAAAAGGUGCCUUCUAUUAAACGGCGCUCAUGACAGUACCGUACGAAUAACCACCGGCUAACUACCUGCC
rnacentral:rRNA from 1 species